CCUCGAUGUCGGCUCAUCACAUCCUGGGGCUGUAGUAGGUCCCAAGGGUUGGGCUGUUCGCCCAUUAAAGUGGUACGCGAGCUGGGUUCAGAACGUCGUGAGACAGUUCGGUCCCUAUCCGUCGCAGGCGUAGGAAAUUUGAGAAGACCUGUCCUUAGUACGAGAGGACCGGGAUGGACGUACCUCUGGUGUACCAGUUGUUCUGCCAAGGGCAUGGCUGGGUAGCUAUGUACGGAAUGGAUAAGCGCUGAAAGCAUCUAAGCGCGAAGCCAACUUCAAGAUAAGAUUUCCCACCGCAAGGGUAAGACCCCAGAAAGACUAUCUGGUUGAUAGGUCGAAGGUGUAAGUGCAGCAAUGUAUUUAGCUUAUCGAUACUAAUAGGUCGAGGACUUGACCAAU
rnacentral:rRNA from 1 species